rnacentral:misc_RNA from 1 species
GCAAGUAAAAGUCGUAACAAGGUCUCCGUUGGUGAACCAGCGGAGGGAUCAUUACCGAGUUUACAACUCCCAAACCCAAUGUGAACCAUACCAAACUGUUGCCUCGGCGGGGUCACGCCCCGGGUGCGUCGCAGCCCCGGAACCAGGCGCCCGCCGGAGGGACCAACCAAACUCUUUCUGUAGUCCCCUCGCGGACGUUAUUUUUACAGCUCUGAGCAAAAAUUCAAAAUGAAUCAAAACUUUCAACAACGGAUCUCUUGGUUCUG